rnacentral:tRNA from 2 species
AAGUGCGUGGUGUAACGGUAACAUAAGAGAUUCCAAACCUUUUGAUUGGGGGUUCGAUUCCCUCCGCACUUGCUA